GUUCAAGAACAGUCUUGUUUAAAGACAGCCUUAGUUACUUUUUUUUUAAAUUGUAUCUCAGCGAUUUUUAAACAAUGAAGUCAAGAUACUUAGUAGAAAAUUCUAAAUUAUACACACAUUGUAUAAUACCUUGAAAUGCACAAUCUGCAUUUUCUAAAUUCAAUGAAAAUAGAGGGAUGAAUCAUGCCAUCCCAAAACAAAGCAUAAAAUUGACAAGAAAUAAAAACCUAUUGCACAAGGUUGUGGUACUAGCAAAUAGAGAAGUUUGGUAGUUUCACUUACAUUAGGUAAGACCAACAAAAAUACUUCAUGCUACCAUGUCAUGAAUGAAUUGAGGAAUGCUGUUAUAGUUCCUCUAAUUGGUUCUCACUCACAUUUCUGACAUUUGUUCCUCACCAGUAUAAACAGAACCUCAGAGGUUAUCUGAAAGCUCUUUUUUCAGAGUAGAUUAGUCAAGACUAUUUUGAACGUGGAGUCACAUUUAAGAUUCAUGGUAGUAACAAAAAAAUACAU
rnacentral:lncRNA from 1 species